AUACGUAGGGGGCGAGCGUUGUCCGGAAUGAUUGGGCGUAAAGGGCGCGUAGGCGGCUUCGCAAGUCAGUAGUGGAAGUCCAUUUUUCAAGGAUGGAAGUGCUACAGAAACUGCGGAGCUUGAGUGCAGGAGAGGUUAUCGGAAUUCCCGGUGUAGCGGUGAAAUGCGUAGAGAUCGGGAGGAACACCAGUGGCGAAGGCGGGUAACUGGACUGCAACUGACGCUGAGGCGCGAAAGUGUGGGGAGCAAACAGGAUUAGAUACCCUGGUAGUCCACGCUGUAAACUAUGAUAACUAUCUUUUAGCGAUACACAGUUAGAGGGUACGAGAAAUCAUUAAGUUAUCCACCUGGGGAUUACGUUCGCAAGAAUGAAACUCAAAUGAAUUGACGGGG
rnacentral:rRNA from 1 species